rnacentral:lncRNA from 10 species
UUUCAAUUUCCCAUCUGCCCCGCAGAAAAGGUGGGGGUUUGCAAAGGGAGUAACUUCUGGUUCCUUUGUUACUUAGGUAUGGAAAGUUAGGGUUUUCCUUUCACUUUAGUUCUAGGAAGUCAGCGUGAAACGCCUGAAGUUUUCUGCCUCCAGACUCUACUCUCCUGCCUCAAUUCUACUCUCUACUUUUAUAAGCUCGACUCACAUUUGAUGACAUAGAAGACUUAAUUUCCUCCUCAUGAUUAAUCUCUCAGUUGGAGAGUAUACACACUCUUACACAGAAUCCAGGACGAAAGCCCUCAUCAGAUGCUUACAUCAUGAUCUUGGACUUCCCAGCCUCCAGACUGAUGCUAUGGAAGAUCAGAAAAUAUAAAUUUAUGAACUGCUAUAAACUGUUAUUUUCUUCGUGAAGAUCAGCCUCCAGGUUCAUCACAUGACUCAGCUAAGAGAAAAUAUCCAGUGGCUCAUCGUUACCUGUGGGAGGAGCACAACAAGAUGUUCCAGACUUAUUCAACAUAUUGUCCAGCCAGUCCUGGAAACAAUCAGUUCCCUGAGGACAGAAUUAAAGUUUAGAGACCUGAAUCUGGGCCCCAGGGGUGGUCAUUACUACUGGUUUGCCACUGCUUCUGUAGCUUUUCAGUGAAGAGGUAGUUAUGUAAUAUGUAUCUAAAAAAAUAAAUUCAAGUUAUGUAUUUUAAAAAUAAAUUCAAGGUCUAUAUAUUUUAGAAAAAGGAAAAAUCAUGUGUUCAUGUUAAUAUUUAUAUUUAAAUAUAUAAUUACAUGUCUUAAUUUAUGUUGUUCUACCUUGAUAAUUCUAUACCUCUAUUAUUUUGCUUUUAUACCUUUUCUCCCCAAAUUUUCUUAAAUUGAAACUCUUGGUUCCUAAUUACAUGUACAUACUUAUUUAUCUUAUACCAUAUACAUAUAGUAAUUUCAAAAUAACAAUACAAACAUUAUUAUCAUUAACAAUAAUGCUGCCGAAUAAAGCUUGUGAUUUCUUUGUGGAGAUUUUCAUACUUGGGAUAUAUCUCACUAGUGAUACUAAAAAAAACCUGCGUUUUAAAGUCACUCGAAAUAAUUUUUCCCUGUGUGGUUUUGUCAACAAUUUGAUAUGCAGUUAGAUCCCUUUACUUCAAAAAAUUUUGAGUAACUGCUUAGCUUUUAUUUUUGAAAUAAUCACAGUUUUUGAUUACAUAGAUAGAGCAUAAAGCAUUUACAGGGUUCCAAAGUGUGUGUGUAUGUGUACAUAUGUAUACAAAUAUGUAUACAUGUCUAUGUAAAUACACAUACACACACACACACACACACACACACACACACACACAUAUUCAGAGACAUCCAUCUUCUGUCCCUGUGUCUUUUGCCAUAAGUAACCAUCCUAAUAAUUUUUAUUUUAUCAUUCUAUGGUUUCAAAAUAAAAGCAAAUUUAUAGUUAUAGUCUUUAUUUGAAAGUAUUUCUUUAAAUUCAAAAAUCAGAAAAACUUUCAAACAUUGUCUUAUUUUGCUUGACCUGGACUUGUAAUUAGAUGACUAUAUCAGAUAGAAGAUUGCUUCAUUUUGCAGUAUUUUAGAGCCAGAGAGUAGGACAACUUUUAAUCAGAGACAGCAAGUACUAUAAAUCCUGAAGGAAAUGUAAGCGGCAUCUUAUAAAUGGAAUAUCAACUCAUAUUCAUAUAGUGAUUUUCAUUUUACACAGUAAUUUCACUAUGCAUUUAUUAAUUUAAUUUUCACAAUAGCCUUAUAAGUUUAUCUCCAUUUUACAAAUUUAAAAAUGAGACAUGGGAUAAAAAUGACUUUCCCCAGGCCUUCCCAAGUUCACACAGCUAAUUCUUGACAGAGGUAAGAGAAGAAUUCAGGUCUUCUGCCUCUAACUCUGCAUCAUAUGAUACUGCAUCUCAAAUUACUUGCAAAUACAUAUGGAACUCCUGUGUGUCUUAAACCAUAUUUUCUGUAGUUGCCAUAAGUUACUCCAAAUGAGUGUUAGAAUUAUAAAAUUCUCUAUUCCCUUUUAGGAGAGUCAUGAUACAAAUUGACAUUAAUUAGUCUCUAAAACUUUAUGUAUUAUUGGAAUAUGUUUAAUUUUGUAUUUCUUAAUGCUUCCCAAUUUUACAAGACCACAGAACAUCCCUCUACCUACUCCCGCCAAAUCUGGACUAAACCUGAAAAGAUAUCAAAGGAACAUAGCUUUUUAUUAAGUGUGAGUUAAUCCAUGAACGAUAGCUUCAAUCAGCAGUAAUUUUCUUAACAUAAUUCAUGCCUGAGGAUUAUAUUCAGUUUAGCUGGACAUCUAUGGCACACCAUAAGCCAAAUUUUGAAGAUUAUUCAUGUUAGAAUUGGAUUCAGUCGAUCCUUAGUGACUUAACAAUCAGGCCUUAAUUGAAACACACACACACAUUGUUAUUGACAGUGUAGAAAUACUGACUCAUAGAAAAAUUCACCCAUAUUUAGUUAGCAGACUAACAGGAACAGCAGCAGCAGCAGCAGCUGGUCAUGCUUCUGUGUGUUGCUAGCAACAAGAAACCAUGACAGCAAGGCCCCAAACAGGAACCUCCUGCAUUUUCUCAUCUGUGAUGAGGCACACUGAUGCUGGGGAUUAAUGAGCCUGAAGAUAUAAAGCAGUGUUUACCACUGGAAAAUGUCUCCUACACUAAAAGCAGAGGCACAUGCCACUGGCCCUCCAUGACACCUGCUCACCAGACACUGUCCUUCCACUUCAGAAGGAUACCGGAUCCUCAUCAGGCCGUCUGACUUCUUACCUUGGGAAUGAGAACCUUGACAGAGGAAGCCUCAGAACUGAAG